rnacentral:rRNA from 1 species
AUUGAACGCUGGCGGCAGGCUUAACACAUGCAAGUCGAGCGGAGAUGAGGUGCUUGCACCUUAUCUUAGCGGCGGACGGGUGAGUAAUGCUUAGGAAUCUGCCUAUUAGUGGGGGACAACAUUCCGAAAGGAAUGCUAAUACCGCAUACGUCUUACGGGAGAAAGCAGGGGAUCUUCGGACCUUGCGCUAAUAGCUGAGCCUAAGUCGGAUUAGCUAGUUGGUGGGGUAAAGGCCUACCAAGGCGACGAUCUGUAGCGGGUCUGAGAGGAUGGUCCGCCACACUGGGACUGAGACACGGCCCAGACUCCUACGGGAGGCAGCAGUGGGGAAUAUUGGACAAUGGGGGAAACCCUGAUCCAGCCAUGCCGCGUGUGUGAAGAAGGCCUUAUGGUUGUAAAGCACUUUAAGCGAGGAGGAGGCUACUGAGACUAAUACUCUUGGAUAGUGGACGUUACUCGCAGAAUAAGCACCGGCUAACUCUGUGCCAGCCGCCGCGGUAAUAC